UGAGGAAUAUUGGACAAUGGGCGAAAGCCUGAUCCAGCCAUGCCGCGUGAGUGAAGAAGGCCUUCGGGUUGUAAAGCUCUUUUAGUCGGAAAGAAAGAGUUGCAAUGAAUAAUUGUGAUUUAUGACGGUACCGACAGAAAAAGCACCGGCUAACUACGUGCCAGCAGCCGCGGUAAUACGUAGGGUGCGAGCGUUAAUCGGAAUUACUGGGCGUAAAGGGUGCGCAGGCGGUCUUGCAAGUCAGAUGUGAAAGCCCCGGGCUUAACCUGGGAAUUGCGUUUGAAACUACAAGACUAGAGUGCAGCAGAGGGGAGUGGAAUUCCAUGUGUAGCAGUGAAAUGCGUAGAGAUGUGGAAGAACACCGAUGGCGAAGGCAGCUCCCUGGGUUGACACUGACGCUCAUGCACGAAAGCGUGGGGAGCAAACA
rnacentral:rRNA from 1 species